AUUGGAUGAGCCCGCGGCCUAUUAGCUAGUUGGUGGGGUAAUGGCCUACCAAGGCGACGAUGGGUAGCCGGCCUGAGAGGGUGUACGGCCACACUGGCACUGAGAUACGGGCCAGACUCCUACGGGAGGCAGCAGUGGGGAAUUUUGCGCAAUGGGGGAAACCCUGACGCAGCAACGCCGCGUGAGUGAUGAAGGCCUUCGGGUCGUAAAGCUCUUUUAGUGGGGAAGAAUCCCACCCGGGCUAAUACCUCGGGUGUCUGACGGUACCCACAGAAAAAGUUCCGGCUAACUACGUGCCAGCAGCCGCGGCCGAU
rnacentral:rRNA from 1 species